AUGUUUUUGGUCAAAGUUGGUGGAAACUGGAAGUUUGCAACCAAGGAUGAUGAUUUCGGUCAAAAUAGAUGUUUUUGGUCAAAGUUGGUGGAAACUGGAAGUUUGCAACCAAAGAUGAUGAUUUCGGUCAAAGUUGUUGUUUUUGGUCAAAGUUGGUGGAAACUGGAAGUUUGCAACCAAAGAUGAUGAUUUCGGUCAAAGUAGAUGUUUUUGGUCAAAGUUGGUGGAAACUCGAGGUUUGCGACCAAAGUUGAUGUUUGUGGUCUAAGUUGAUGUUUUUGGUCAAAGUUGGUGGAAACUGGAAGUUUGCAACCAAAGAUGAUGAUUUCGGUCAAAGUAGAUGUUUUUGGUCAAAGUUGGUGGAAACUGGAAGUUUGCAACCAAAGAUGAUGAUUUCGGUCAAAGUAGAUGUUUUUGGUCAAAGUUGGUGGAAACUGGAAGUUUGCAACCAAAGAUGAUGAUUUCGGUCAAAGUAGAUGUUUUUGGUCAAAGUUGGUGGAAACUUGAAGUUUGCAACCAAAGAUGAUGAUUUCGGUCAAAGUAGAUGUUUUUGGUCAAAGUUGGUGGAAACUUGAAGUUUGCAACCAAAGGUGAUGAUUUCGGUCAAAGUAGAUGUUUUUGGUCAAAGUUGGUGGAAACUGGAAGUUUGCAACCAAAGAUGAUGAUUUCGGUCAAAGUAGAUGUUUUUGGUCAAAGUUGGUGGAAACUGGAAGUUUGCAACCAAAGAUGAUGAUUUCGGUCAAAGUAGAUGUUUUUGGUCAAAGUUGGUGGAAACUGGAAGUUUGCAACCAAAGAUGAUGAUUUCGGUCAAAGUAGAUGUUUUUGGUCAAAGUUGGUGGAAACUGGAAGUUUGCAACCAAAGAUGAUGAUUUCGGUCAAAGUAGAUGUUUUUGGUCAAAGUUGGUGGAAACUUGAAAUUUGCAACCAAAGAUGAUGUUUUCGGUCAAAGUAGAUGUUUUUGGUCAAAGUUGGUGGAAACUGGAAGUUUGCAACCAAAGAUGAUGAUUUCGGUCAAAGUAGAUGUUUUUGGUCAAAGUUGGUGGAAACUGGAAGUUUGCAACCAAAGAUGAUGAUUAAGGACAAAGUAGAUGUUUUUGGUCAAAGUUGGUGGAAACUGGAAGUUUGCAACCAAAGAUGAUGAUUUCGGUCAAAGUAGAUGUUUUUGGUCAAAGUUGGUGGAAACUGGAAGUUUGCGACCAAAGAUGAUGAUUUCGGUCAAAGUAGAUGUUUUUGGUCAAAGUUGGUGGAAACUGGAAGUUUGCGACCAAAGUUGAUGUUUUCGGUCAAAGUUGAUGUUUUUGGUCAAAGUUGGUGGAAACUUGAAGUUUGCAACCAAAGAUGAUGAUUUCGGUCAAAGUAGAUGUUUUUGGUCAAAGUUGGUGGAAACUGGAAGUUUGCAACCAAAGAUGAUGUUUUCGGUAAAAGUUGAUGUUUUUGGUCAAAGUUGGUGGAAACUCGAGGUUUGCGACCAAAGUUGAUGAUUUCGGUCAAAGUUGAUGUUUUUGGUCAAAGUUGGUAGAAACUCGAGGUUUGCGACCAAAGAUGAUGAUUUCGGUCAAAGUAGAUGUUUUUGGUCAAAGUUGGUGGAAACUGGAAGUUUGCAACCAAAGAUGAUGAUUUCGGUCAAAGUAGAUGUUUUUGGUCAAAGUUGGUGGAAACUCGAGGUUUGCAACCAAAGAUGAUGAUUUCGGUCAAAGUUGAUGUUUUUGGUCAAAGUUGGUGGAAACUCGAGGUUUGCGACCAAAGAUGAUGAUUUCGGUCAAAGUAGAUGUUUUUGGUCAAAGUUGGUGGAAACUGGAAGUUUGCAACCAAAGAUGAUGAUUUCGGUCAAAGUAGAUGUUUUUGGUCAAAGUUGGUGGAAACUCAAGGUUUGCGACCAAAGUUGAUGUUUUCGGUCAAAGUAGAUGUUUUUGGUCAAAGUUGGUGGAAACUUGAAGUUUGCAACCAAAGAUGAUGAUUUCGGUCAAAGUAGAUGUUUUUGGUCAAAGUUGGUGGAAACUGGAAGUUUGCAACCAAAGAUGAUGAUUUCGGUCAAAGUAGAUGUUUUUGGUCAAAGUUGGUGGAAACUUGAAGUUUGCAACCAAAGAUGAUGAUUUCGGUCAAAGUAGAUGUUUUUGGUCAAAGUUGGUGGAAACUGGAAGUUUGCAACCAAAGAUGAUGAUUUCGGUCAAAGUAGAUGUUUUUGGUCAAAGUUGGUGGAAACUCGAGGUUUGCGACCAAAGAUGAUGAUUUCGGUCAAAGUAGAUGUUUUUGGUCAAAGUUGGUAGAAACUGGAAGUUUGCAACCAAAGAUGAUGAUUUCGGUCAAAGUAGAUGUUUUUGGUCAAAGUUGGUGGAAACUUGAAGUUUGCAACCAAAGAUGAUGAUUUCGGUCAAAGUAGAUGUUUUUGGUCAAAGUUGGUGGAAACUGGAAGUUUGCAACCAAAGAUGAUGAUUUCGGUCAAAGUAGAUGUUUUUGGUCAAAGUUGGUGGAAACUUGAAGUUUGCGGCCAAAGAUGAUGAUUUCGGUCAAAGUAGAUGUUUUUGGUCAAAGUUGGUGGAAACUGGAAGUUUGCAACCAAAGAUGAUGAUUUCGGUCAAAGUAGAUGUUUUUGGUCAAAGUUGGUGGAAACUCGAGGUUUGCGACCAAAGAUGAUGAUUUCGGUCAAAGUAGAUGUUUUUGGUCAAAGUUGGUGGAAACUGGAAGUUUGCAACCAAAGAUGAUGAUUUCGGUCAAAGUAGAUGUUUUUGGUCAAAGUUGGUGGAAACUUGAAGUUUGCGACCAAAGUUGAUGAUUUCGGUCAAAGUAGAUGUUUUUGGUCAAAGUUGGUGGAAACUCGAGGUUUGCGACCAAAGUUGAUGUUUUCGGUCAAAGU